AGCGAACGCUGGCGGCAGGCUUAACACAUGCAAGUCGAGCGGGCAUCUUCGGAUGUCAGCGGCAGACGGGUGAGUAACACGUGGUAACGUACCCUUCGGUUCGGAACAACUCUGGGAAACUGGAGCUAAUACCGGAUACGCCCUUAUGGGGAAAGGUUUACUGCCGCAGGAUCGGCCCGCGUCUGAUUAGCUAGUUGGUAGGGUAACGGCCUACCAAGGCGACGAACAGUAGCUGGUCUGAGAGGAUGAUCAGCCACACUGGGACUGAGACACGGCACAGAAUCCUACGGGAGGCAGCAGUGGGGAAUAUUGGACAAUGGGCGCAAGCAUGAUCCAGCCAUGCCGCGUGAGUGAUGAAGGCCUUAGGGUUGUAAAGCUCUUUUGUCCGGGACGAUAAUGACGGUACCGGAAGAAUAAGCCCCGGCUAACUUCGUG
rnacentral:rRNA from 1 species